AUUGAACGCUGGCGGCAGGCCUAACACAUGCAAGUCGAGCGGAGCGGCGAACGGAGGAGGAAUGCCUAGGAAGCUGCCUGGUAGUGGGGGAUAACGUCCGGAGACGGGCGAUAAUACCGAAUACUAUCAGAUGAACCUAGGUCGGAUUAGCUAGUUGGGGGGGUAAAGGCCUACCAAGGCGACGCUCCGGAACUGGCCUGAGAGGAUGAUCAGUCACACUGUAACGUAGAAACGGUCCAGACGCCUACGGUAGGCAGCAGUGGGGAAUAUUGGACAAGGGGCGAAAGUCGGAUCCAGCAAUGCCGCGUGUGUGAAGAAGGUCUUCGGAUUUUAAAGCACUUUAAGUUGGGAGGCGUUACCAACAGAAUAAGCACCGGCUAACUUCGUGCCAGCAGCCGCGGUAAUAC
rnacentral:rRNA from 1 species